CCUACGGGAGGCCGCAGUGAGGAAUCUUGGUCAAUGGGCGCGAGCCUGAACCAGCCAAGUCGCGUGAGGGAAGACGGUCCUAUGGAUUGUACACCUCUUUUGUCGGGGAGCAAAAGACGCCACGCGUGGCGUUCCGAGAGUACCCGAAGAAAAAGCAUCGGCUAACUCCGUGCCAGCAGACGCGGUAAUACGGAGGAUGCGAGCGUUAUCCGGAUUUAUUGGGUUUAAAGGGUGCGCAGGCGGAAGAUCAAGUCAGCGGUAAAAUUGAGAGGCUCAACCUCUUCGAGCCGUUGAAACUGGUUUUCUUGAGUGAGCGAGAAGUAUGCGGAAUGCGUGGUGUAGCGGUGAAAUGCAUAGAUAUCACGCAGAACUACGAUUGCGAAGGCAGCAUACCGGCGCUCAACUGACGCUCAUGCACGAAAGUGUGGGUAUCGAACAGGAUUAGAUACCCCGGUAGUC
rnacentral:rRNA from 1 species